rnacentral:rRNA from 1 species
UACGUAGGGGGCAAGCGUUGUCCGGAGUCAUUGGGCGUAAAGCGCGUGUAGGCGGCCAGGUAAGUCCGUUCUGAAAGCCCGGGGCUCAACCCCGGGAGGCGGAUGGAUACUGCUUGGCUCGAGUCCGGAAGAGGCGAGUGGAAUUCCCGGUGUAGCGGUGAAAUGCGCAGAUAUCGGGAGGAACACCAAUGGCGAAGGCAGCUCGCUGGGACGGUACUGACGCUGAGACGCGAAAGCGUGGGGAGCAAACAGG